rnacentral:rRNA from 1 species
AUUGAACGCUGGCGGCAGGCCUAACACAUGCAAGUCGAGCGGAUGAAGGGAGCUUGCUCCUGGAUUCAGCGGCGGACGGGUGAGUAAUGCCUAGGAAUCUGCCUGGUAGUGGGGGAUAACGUCCGGAAACGGGCGCUAAUACCGCAUACGCCCUGAGGGAGAAAGUGGGGGAUCUUCGGACCUCACGCUAUCAGAUGAGCCUAGGUCGGAUUAGCUAGUUGGUGGGGUAAAGGCCUACCAAGGCGACGAUCCGUAACUGGUCUGAGAGGAUGAUCAGUCACACUGGAACUAAGACACGGUCCAGACUCCUACGGGAGGCAGCAGUGGGGAAUAUUGGACAAUGGGCGAAAGCCUGAUCCAGCCAUGCCGCGUGUGUGAAGAAGGUCUUCGGAUUGUAAAGCACUUUAAGUUGGGAGGAAGGGCAGUAAGUUAAUACCUUGCUGUUUUGACGUUACCAACAGAAUAAGCACCGGCUAACUUCGUG